rnacentral:lncRNA from 1 species
GUAUAUCCAUGGCACACCUAUACUGUUCAAAGUAUGUCUGCCUUAGAAAAUCUUGUUAACAGUGAUCCUCUUUUCUGUAUUUAGGUUCUCCAGGCAAAGUUUAAGGAUUUCAAGUCAAACCGUUGGGUGGUUGAGUCACCAUACAGCCUCCUCCUUUCUGUGCAGCAUUGGCCAAACUAACUUGCGUGACUCUGAACGGUGAAGCCUGAGUAUCUGGGAAGUACAUGACUGACAAUGUGCACUGCAAAGGGGGCUUUGGCUAAAGGACGUCCAUAAGAGCAAGAAAACAAUUUUAUUAUCAAAGAGUGGCAACAGAAAUGGACAAAGAUAUUGCCAGAAUACCCUCCCUGGUACAUCAGGUCCUUUGUUAACUCCAGAAAAUGUGCCUUCUUGGUGAGAAAGGGUCCUGAGAGGAUUAUGAAAUGGGGAUAUGGAGUUUCCCAGGUAAUUAAGCAUAUGUGAUAUCUUUUCUCACCAAUCCUCUUCAGAUUUUCCUGACACCUUGAAAUUUUCUUUGAAAAGCU